GAUUAUGGUGGCCAUGCUCAGGGCUUCUUCGGAAGCGCCGGUUCCAGUGCUCCGGUCUACCAACCUGUGUAUGGUCACCACCCUU
rnacentral:antisense_RNA from 1 species